UUCUAAGAACAAUUCGUUUUGGUCAAAUAACUAGAGUAAAAGUGACUGGUGUUAAGAAACCUCCUCUUCCCCCUUCCCUGGCCCGGGGCAGCGACAUUUGAGGCGCUGUCUCCUGAGGCCACAGAGGCUGCUCUUGGGGCAGUUCAAAGGGUUGGCUCUUCUCCCCACCCUCCCCACCCACUUCCCUCACCGCCUCCCUGGCAGGCCAGGCUCAGGCAGCCUCCCAUCACAGACCGGGUCCUGAGCCUCUCUCCUGGCACCGAGCUUCGCCCCCCUGCUGUCCGUCUCUAAAGGGAGGAACAGCACAGUCUCUGGUCACCCCUGUCACUCACCACUCUGCUGAGCCCAUAGCAUCCUCCGUAUGCCACUGACCACACUGGAUCAGCACUGGAACAGUGACAUUGAGGGGAGGAGAGAGGAGGAGAGAGGGAAUGCUGGGCUACGGAGGGAAGGGACUGGCUUGGGCUCCCAGGAGGCUGCCCCGAGAGCGGGGGAUGGCAGAGGAAGGAGCUGGAGGAUGUCUGAGGGAGCUGUAUCCCCAGGCAGGAGUGGCUGGACAGGAAGGCAGUGCAGUCAGAGGCAGCUAGGCUUGCACAAGAUGGAAUUGAGGAGCGAAGGCUUGAGCCAGCGGAGGGCUGGACUCGGGGACUGGACCCCAGGGUCUGGACACACUGCCCAGGGGAGCAGCUUGGCCCACAUCUGAACAGGAGGGAGGGGACAGGUACGGGGCGGGGGUGGGACGGUGUCUCUCAGACCUGACUCCAGACGGCAUUUCCUGGGAGAUGAACCCAGGCCCGUGUGCAGCAAGGAACUAAGCCAAGCGCCCGGAGGCUAAAGGCCAAAGAGCUGAGGGUCCUAAUUUACCCGCCCUGGUAGCUCCUGGCAAGAGCCCUGCACCGCCUUCUCUUCCAGGAUGCGCCAGGCUGCAGGCUGCAGUGCCGAGAAGGAAAGGAUGGAGGCGGUGGUGAUGUCAACCAGGGAAUUAAGUGAGCAGAAGCGCUGAUAACAUCUCCCAGCAAGGCCCGCUGUGGGCAAGGUGACUCAUCGAAGCCGGGCCCCACCACCACAGGCUGAUUGUUGUUGUGCCCAGCCUGUGGGGCUGGGGAGGGGGGGGAGGCCGAGACCGGUCGCUCAGCCAGCCCUCUGCUCAGUGGAGACGUCUCGGAACACAGUGUCCUCCGCCUCCAGAGCUGCCUCAGGAAACAGCCCUCCCUCCCGCUGUCUCGAUUAUCUUCGUCCACCGCGUUCGGUGUUUGUGGGGUGUGUCAAGGUGGUUUCCCCACCCGCGUCCCGCUGGGCACUCCAGGCACCAGAGAUUGCUAACAGCAUAACAGUUGCUCCCCCUGGUUGGACCACUGUCUGUGGUGACAACGCCACCGGAUGGCAAACUGCUAACCACAACCACGUGGCGUCCUCGUGGAAGGUACAGCCUGUUCCUCCAGCUGCAGGCACCUGCAGAGCUGCCUCCACUCAUCCCCGCCGAGGGGCCCACGACUGUCGGGUUCUUCCCCAUCCCCUGGGGUGCCAGGUACUGCUGUACGAGUUGAGAACUGUACAACUGGCGGGGGACGGGGACCACUCACUUUAUGGUCUGUGUACCAGACCGCAUGGCUGUACGUGGCCUCUUCCCUUUUCUAAAUUAUUGCUCAUUCCCCUCCUCCACCUAGAAGGAUCUAUUUAGCUUGCCAUUAAGAAGUUUGUCUUCACACCAAACUUGCCCCGUAAGCAUCAGCUUCAUCCUUUACCUACUGACUCCUCUCAUUCGGUCAUUCAUUCAUUCCACAAAACACUGCUGAGUGUGUGCCAGGUACCAGUGUAAGCAAGGGAACAAGACAGACCCUGCUGGAGUCACGGUGCUCACAUUCUAGUCGCAGGGAAGGCGGGAGACAAUAAACAAAUCACUGGACACAUAAAACUGCAAGUGACAGUAUAAGUGCCAUGAAAGAAAAUAAAGCGGGGCCAGGAGAUGAGGGUGACAGGGCUCUCCUUCUGCUGGAACUGCCCCGAAAAGCUUCUCUCUGUGGAGGUAGCCUCUGAGCAGAGACCCAGAGGCAGUAAAGGAAGGAGACUUCCCGGCAGAGCCCCUCCUACCAGGCAGGCAGUGCCAAAAGAAAGUUCUCUAAUCCUGCCUGGUUCUGCCAGGAGCCUGUGGCAUGGCCUGGGGCACUCACUCCCAGUGCUGGGUGUCCAUUUCCUCCUUGACAAACAAGAGGGCCGGCUGCUCCGGCUCCCUGAGGGCACCUCCACCAUGAAUCCACCUGCCCACAGGUGGCGGGAGGAACUCCAUGUCGGGGGGCCUGCGUUGGAAGGCCAGCUGGGCCACCUCCAAGCUGUGCAACCUCAGGCAGGUUACUGAACCUCUCUGAGGUGGUCUCCUUAUCUGUAAAAUGCCUUCCUCUGGGUAUUGUGAAGGAUUAAAUGAGCUUGUGGAUGUGUCACCACCUGGUAUAUAACAGGUGUUUAAUAGACUCUAGGGUCACACCUGGGAGAGGUGAGCCCAUGGGGUGAGAUGAAGAGGUGCUCCUUUCAUUCAGGGAGAGGGCAAUGCUGACCUAAAGACACAAGGGACCACCAGCCCCCCACCUGUGCAGAGACGAGCCGGGGGAGGCUCCAGGCUGGGACCCUGCCUCACAGACCCAGAGCCAGUGGGGUGGGGUGCCGGGGUCCUGCACUUCACACUGACGUCAGCAGGUGCGGGUGGAGUGGAGCGCUGUGGUAUAGGGCCCUUGAACUGUCACACCACGGCCCUGGCUUUCAACUUCCUCUGGGGCCCAGGGUGUGCUCAGCUCGCCCUCCCUUCCUUCCUCCCUCAUUCAGGCCGCUUUGGGGAAGCACCAGCCACCCUCCGGCUCCAGUCACUGUGCUCCCUCUCAGCUCCCAGAGUUCAUCCCAGGUCACUGUGCUCCCUCUCAGCUCCCAGAGUUCAUCCCAGCCCCCCUCCAUCAACAGGUCUUUCCCUCAUCCCUGCGGGGACUCCAGCAUGGCAGGUGGGACCCACCAGGCCUGGGGUGCAGCCAGUAGCAAUACUCAGCCCUGACUGGCUGCCUCGGUGGUGCACUGCUCAUCCCUGACCUCCCUGGAUGUGGGUGUUUUUAUUCCCUUUCUUCUUGAGGAACUGAGGCUCUAGGAAAAUAGGAGCUGUGGGCACUGAGGUGGCAGAGUUGACAGGCAUUCUUCCUGCAGGAGCCUUGCAAGGCAGAGGGGCCUUGGCAAGGCCAGAAGACAGAGGAUGCAGGUGGUGGACCAGUCUGAGGCUGGGAUGGGGGCUUAGGGGACUCCCACCCCACAAAUGGCUACAGGCCACAGUGUACAGGCCCCUCCCCCCACCUGCUGCUUUAGGACCCCCAGGGGGCCUGGCACUCUGAGUCUCCAGCCAGCUCCCAGGUGGCCUGGAAGCUGCUGGCUCAGUCUGAAAGGCCAGAGCUGAGAGCUGAGCCACAAGCCCCAUUGGAAGACAUUUCUCAGGUCCUUUCUGGCAGGAAACAGACAUCCUUUCCAGCUAUCAUUUAUUGACAACUUUCUUGCAGAGCAGGUGCUGUGCUAAAUGCUUUGCAUAUAUAAACCUAUGUAAUUCUCACAACAACUCUGUGAGGCAGGACGCUGGGGCACAGCGAGGUUAAGCGACUUGCCUGAGGUCACACAGAACUGGCAUUCAAACCAGGAUGCCUGGCUCCAGAGGGCACCCUCACCUCUCCUCAAAGUGGAGAUCCCUGGAGCAGGGGAGGCCCAGGACCAGGGGUUUGGGUUGGACCUGGCGGGCAUUGGGGAGCCAUGGCAGGGUUCUGAGCCAGGGAUCAGUAUGCUCCCAGGACUGGCUGGACAACUGGACCCCACUGAGGGCUGAAUACACCACCCCUCCCACAGGGAUGUGGUUAGGACAGAAGGCGGCAGAACAAGACUUCCCCCAAAGAAAAGACCUGAGAUGAGGUUGGCAGGCCAUGUGCUGGGCAUGAAGUUGUGAAGGUGGGAGCUCAGGCACAGGGAAGGGAGCCAGCAGCUCCCUGCCCCCAGUGGGUCUGCUACAGAUGGGUGCUCGGUUCCUGUGCCUGGGGCCUAAGAGCUGCCAGCCUACGGGGGCCACCCGGUGUCCAUCUGUCUGCGUGCACAUGUGUGUAUUCGCGUGUGUAAGAAGGCAGGGAGAAGGGGCCUUUGCGUGUGCCUGUUUGCAGGGGAACCUGUCCCCCACCCCCACCUGCUGCUGCAGCCACAGAGAACAGGAUGCCCUGACUCCAAUCUGCACCUCUAAGGCCUUGAAACCACAGCCACCACGUCAAGGGCGAGUGCACAAGGGCUGGCGGGAGGUGGGGCCCUGGGUGCAGGGUCUGCAGGUGUGAGCCAACAGACGUGUGCAAGGCUGCCCUGGGGGUGUGGUUCCAGGGAGGGGGGCAGGUGGGGUGGAAGGGAGCUGGUCCUCCCCUGGGAGGGAGCACAGCGUCCAUCCCCUCUGACCACAGGUUGCGGGGUCCGACAGCUAGCCCCCAUCUGGCCCCUCAGAGGACCAGCCUUUGCUUGUGCAGCUGCUCUCCUCUGGGUGACAGUCCUAACAACACUGUACAAAGGUCUGUAGAGCAUCUAAAAUGGCCCAGCAGUUCCAGGCACUUGGGAAACAUCCACGAGCAAAACAAAGAUCCCUGCCCUCGUGGGGUCAAUAUUCUUGUUGGGGAGACACAGUAGACAGAGCAAGUGAAGUCAGGUAUGUCAGUAGGUGGCAGGUGACACAGGGGAAGAGAGGAGAUGGAACCACGCUGAGAGCUGUAAUGUGCUGGGGGGGGUGAGGGGGAGGGGCUGUGCUGGGGGGGGUGACAAGAGGGGUGUGUGCCCAUGUGUACACAGGUCACAGUAUUAAACUGGGUGGUCCACGGAGGCCCUACUGAAAAGGUGACAUUUCAACAAAAGCUUGGAGAAGGAGCCAAGCAAGGUCUGGAAGAAAACAUUCCAGACAGAGGAAAUAGCUAGAACAAGGGCCCUGAGGCAGAGGCAUGCCUUGCCAGGACUGAGGGAAGGACAACCUGGCCUGCUGGUGGACCGACGUGGCCCCACGCCUUCUGGCAUCUGCUCACCUUGCCAAGAGUGAGGGCUGACGCCCCGUGGGUUAAAGAAAAUGGACCUUCUGGUACCUACAGCAAAAGCGAAAGGGCUCCCACAGGAACCAGUGUCAUGGGAAGUAGGGGACAGAGAGGGACAAAGGGUUUAGACCAGAAGGAGCCUACCACCCCUUGGGGGCCUGAGCUCAGGGAGAAGGCCCUAGACUGGGGGUCUCUAGGGGGAGGGUGGGGGAAGUCUCUGGGGUCCCCAGGCUCCCUGACCAACCUGUGCCUGGGAGCUCACUGAGAGAGUGCAGUGAGGAGCUGCAUCCUGCUGCCUGGGGGCCAGCUGGCCACUCGGGGGGCAGGGAGCCUGCCACCACCUGCCUCUGCUGAGGCUGCCAGCUCCUUCUGCAUUCAAGCACCCCAUGGCGGUUGGGCGGGGGGCAUUUGGCCUCAGGAGAGGGAAGCUGAUGGCUGAUCAGGGGACGGGAUGUGUCUACAGCCCCACCCAGCCCUGCAGUUUGUGAGAGAUGGAGUUCUAGAAGGCAGAUCCCCUCUAAGCCAGCCAGACCACCACCAAAGGAUGGGGGUAGCAAUGACUGAGAGAGGGGAUGGCGGGAGGUUAGGAACUAGAAAAAAGGGAGGAGGCUUGACCUGGGCCUUUUAGGAUGAGAGCAAAUCUGAAUGGGUGGAGAGGAGAAAGGACAAGUCCAUGCAUUCACACACUGGCACACACAGGUGACACCACACACACACACACACACACACACACACACAUACUCGGUCCCUUAAGCUUCACCACCCUCCCCCAAAACACACAGGUUUUCAUAGCCGGAGAUAUCCACUACACCUCACAGAUGCCAAAGUAACACUCAGACACACAUGCACUGGGGACAUUCACACUCACGUAAGACAUGCCAGCACCAGGGCACACACAGAGUCACACACCCUCAGAGACCUAGAGUGGGUCCCCUGGGCACCAGAAGCACAUUGACUCCUUAGAAACGGACUUGGGAGAAGAUGAUGAUGUGUCUGCAAUGCAUAGCAGAACAGAGGCUGGAAAGUAGGGCAGAGGGGGACAGAUGGAGAUGGGGUGACAGAUAGACCCAGAGAAAGGAACGUCGCAGCCACACCCACCUGCAGAUGGCACACGCCUACGUACUUGUCACCCUCCCUGCCCGUGAGAGAUACCACUCAGCCACCCUAUGACGUUGCAAAGUCACUCAGCCUUUUCUCCAAGUUUUUCUUGGAUGAAAUGAGAAUCUGGUAACAUCUGCUUUCCAAAUUUCAACCGCAAAUCGACAGGUAGAUCCUGUUUGCUCUGCCUCCCAAAACACUGUUCAGAGUCCAGCCACUUUUCCCUCCUCCAGGGAACCCCCCUGGCCAGGCCACCGUCCACCAGCUUCCCUGCCUCCCCUCUUGCUCCCUGAAGCAGUCUGUGGUCCACUUGCAGCCACUGACCCUCUCCUCCCAACCUACUGGUGUGUUUCCAUCUCAUCCACCGCAUAGAGGAAAAUCCUUGCGAUGGUCCCAGGGGAGCUGCCCACCCCUCCCUUUUCUCCCUUCUGGCUUCAACUCCAGCCAUGCUGGGCCCUGGCUUCCACAAACACCCAGGCCUCCCCUCUCAGAGCCUUUGCACCUGCUGUUCCCUCUGCCUGGAGGGGCCUCAGGACUCUGUCUUCAGAAUUUAGUCAAAUACAUCCUCUCACUGAGGCCUCCCUGGCUGCAUCAGCUAACGCUGCGGCCCCCAGCUGAGUGCUCUCUAUGCCCCCCCCACACACACCCCUGCUUUUUUCUUCUUAGCAUCUUUCCUCACCAAACAUACCACAUAUUUGAUCAUAUUUUUUUAUCUGUCUCUCUUAUCAAAGUGUAAAUUUCACAAGGCAGGGAUUUCUGUUUUAUUCUAUCCUGUGACCCCUGCUUCCUAAAACAGUACCUGGGUCACAGGACUCAAUAAAUUGAGUGAGUGAGUGAAUGAAUGAAUGAAUGAAUGAGAUAGCAAAUAGGUAAGCAUUUGAAAAGCAAGAUUAAAGAACAGGAGGGACCAGAGUUCCUGUGUGGCUCAGCAGGUUAUGAACCAGACUAGCAUCCAUGAGGAUGCGGGUUCUAUCCCUGGCCUCGCUCAGUGGGUUAAGGAUCCAGCAUUGCCGCAAACAAGGCUCAGAUCUGGUGUUUGCUGUGGCUGUGAUGCAGGCUGGCAGCUGCAGCUCCUAUUCGACCCCUAGUCUGGGAACUUCCAUAUGCCGCAGGUAUGGCUCUAAAAGGAAAAAAAGACCAAAAAAAAAAAAAAAACAGGAGGGACCACCCCUGAGUGAGCCAUCACUGUAUUCCAGGAAUUGCAACCACAACCCUUUUUUCUCAACCCUGGGAAGUAAAUAGAAUUGUUCCCGUUUUACAGAUGAGAAGCCUGAAGACCAGAAAGGUUAAGACAUGUGACCUCAAAAAUGGUCCCCCAUAAUUCCUCCCAUCUCUGUGUCAAAUGCUGCUCUUCUCAUCAAGAUUCUAGUCUGUUUUCCUGCCCCCUUGACUCCAGGCUGGUCUUGUGACAAGCUUUGACCAAAAGAAUGAGGCAAAAGUGAUGCUGUGUCAAUUUGGGUCUAGGCCUUAAGAAAAUUGGCCCCUGGACCAGCUACAUAAUUUGUAGUGUCUAAAGAAGAUGAAAAUGUGGGUCCCCCUGUUCAAAAAGCAAGAAAAAAUGCCCUUAUUGGUACUGAUAUAUAGAGCUCUCUUUUCUUCCAAAGUCUCUCAAGUCUUCAUGGUACUUUUUGCUACUUAAUGUUGUUCUAUGGAAAAAAUUUUAAAUAUUAGCGUGGGAGUUCCUGUCAUGGCUCAGCGGAAACGAAUCUGACUAGCAUCCAUGAGGAGGCAGGUUCGAUCCCUAGCCUCACUCAGUGGGUUAAGGAUCUGGCAUUGCCAG
rnacentral:lncRNA from 1 species